rnacentral:rRNA from 1 species
CACGUAGGGCGCGAGCGUUGUCCGGAAUUAUUGGGCGUAAAGAGCUCGUAGGCGGCCUGUUGCGUCCGCUGUGAAAGCCCGGGGCUUAACCCCGGGUCUGCAGUGGAUACGGGCAGGCUAGAGGUAGGCAGGGGAGAAUGGAAUUCCCGGUGUAGCGGUGAAAUGCGCAGAUAUCGGGAGGAACACCGGUGGCGAAGGCGGUUCUCUGGGCCUUACCUGACGCUGAGGAGCGAAAGCGUGGGGAGCGAACAGG